UACAGGGGGGGCAAGCGUUGUUCGGAAUUACUGGGCGUAAAGGGUUCGUAGGUGGCCAACUAAGUCAGACGUGAAAUCCCCAAGCUUAACUUGGGAACUGCAUCCGAUACUGGAUGGCUUGAAUCCGGGAGAGGGAUGCAGAAUUCCAGGUGUAGCGGUGAAAUGCGUAGAUAUCUGGAGGAAUACCGGUGGCGAAGGCGGCAUCCUGGACCGGCAUUGACGCUGAGGAGCGAAAGCUAGGGGAGCAAACGGG
rnacentral:rRNA from 1 species